CGUUCCCGGGCCUUGUACCACACCGCCCGUCAAGCCACGAAACGUUGGGAGUACCCGAAGUCGCUGUGCUAACCCGUAAGGGGGCAGGCGCCGAAGGUAAGACCAGUGAUUGGGGCU
rnacentral:rRNA from 1 species